UUACUACUCCCUCCAUUUCAAAUUACUUGUCGCGGGUAUGAAUGUAUCUAGAUGUAUUUUAGUUCUAGAUACAUUCAUUUGUGCGACGAGUAAUUUAGAACGGAGGGAGUACAUU
rnacentral:pre_miRNA from 1 species